GAGGGGCAGGGUAGCAGGGAGAGGGGCCCGGGGAUAUUGCCGGCGGGGUGAUGCCGCAGGGGGCGGAGUCGUAUUCUGCAGGGGGCGGGGCCCCAAGCCAAGGGGCGGGGGCUGAUCAAGGAGAAGGUGGGGCCCCGAGUCGGGAGCCGAGUCCCGCGCUAACGGACCUUGGCGCCCCGGGGGCGGAGCCGGGAUCCGCAGAGGGCGGGCCCGUGAGCGAGGGCGGGACCCUGGGCCCGGGGGCGGGGCUGGCCCCGCGGAAGCACGCAGCCAUUGGCCGGGGGGCGGGCCCCAGGGCGGAGGUGGGCGGGGCAUCGGGCCCCGGGACUGAGCCUCUGAAGGGCGGGGCCCAAGCUCCCGGGCCCGCUGCGGGCAAGGGGGAGAGUCCUGGGCCGGGGAGCCGAGGCGGCCUCCGGGGAGGGCGGGCCUGGGGUCGAGGUCGGCCCCGGACUCCCCCGGGGGAAGUGGUGUGGGUAGAAAGGGAGCAGCGGGCGCCAGAGCCGGGCCCCGUGUGGGUGCCCCGCAGACCUCCGCGGGCUCAGAGCUGGGGGGGCGCCCCCGGGGGAGGGGGGGGUCAGGCCUGGGGCGUCACCUCCUCGGACAGGGGCUCCCCAGAGCCCGCGGGAGACGUGUGGGUGCCCAGGGGGCGCCCCCCGUCCGUUGGCGAGGUGUGGGUGUGCUGGGCUGGAGGGGCCUGGGUGUGGCGGGAGUGGGGGGUGCCCGUGGGGCCGGCGGGGGGGCGGCCGGAGAGGGUCUGGACCUUGCGGAAAGGGGAGGCCACCAAGGGCGCAGGAGGCAACUGAAGGGCGGGGGAGCAGGGCGGGGAACGAGCGGGAUUGGGGGGUGGGAUCCGCGGCGACAGCUUUGGGGCAGGACCCCCGGCUGCUGUGUCUUCCCCUCGUCCCCUCCCCCCGCCGCUGGGCUCAAAGGUCAAGCCCCCUUUCCGCUAGACAGGGUCAUGCAGCUGAGCUGGCUUCUGGUCUUCCUGUCCCUCUGCCUGGGUGUCCUGCCCACCAGGGCAGGGGAGGGGAAGCGAAAGCUGCA